CGUAACACGUGGGUAAUCUGCCUCGAAGACCGGGAUAACCUUCCGAAAGGAAAGCUAAUACCGGAUAAGCUCACAGGGUCUUCGGACCUCGUGAGAAAAGGUGGCCUCUGUAUACAAGCUAUCACUUCGAGAUGAGCCCGCGGCCCAUCAGUUAGUUGGCGGGGUAACGGCCCACCAAGACUACGACGGGUAGCUGGUCUGAGAGGACGAUCGGCCACACUGGAACUGAGACACGGUCCAG
rnacentral:rRNA from 1 species